UUUAUAUGAGAGUUUGAUCCUGGCUCAGGAUGAACGCUGGCGGCGUGCCUAAUACAUGCAAGUCGAACGAGUUCUCGUUGAUGAUCGGUGCUUGCACCGAGAUUCAACAUAGAACGAGUGGCGGACGGGUGAGUAACACGUGGGUAACCUGCCCUUAAGUGGGGGAUAACAUUUGGAAACAGAUGCUAAUACCGCAUAGAUCCAAGAACCGCAUGGUUCUUGGCUGAAAGAUGGCGUAAGCUAUCGCUUUUGGAUGGACCCGCGGCGUAUUAGCUAGUUGGUGAGGUAAUGGCUCACCAAGGCGAUGAUACGUAGCCGAACUGAGAGGUUGAUCGGCCACAUUGGGACUGAGACACGGCCCAAAC
rnacentral:rRNA from 2 species